UCCUAGUUAGUACAACGGUUAGUAUAUGUCGCUCUCACGCGUCCGUCUGUGAAGCGCCGACAAGACCCGGGUUCGACUCCCGGAUUGGGAA